CUGAGUAAAGAUGCCCCGUUCAGCAGCAAAGUCCCAAGCUGACAGGGCUAGACGCAUGUCGGCCGUCCAAGUGACCCCACCUCUAGCGCAGGAACUGGAAGCGGAAGAUAUCAUUCCUGGUCGCUUAACACGCGCCCAGUGGAUGGACAUGUUGAGCCAGGAGGAUGCAGAGGAGACAGUAGGGGAGAUCAUGGAUGAACUGUUGAGCAAGGUCAUGGAAGGCUGUUUGAAGGCAUACAUUGAACGACAGCACCUUUUUCCGCAUCUUGGGCCAAGAACUACUUCACACAAAUUCUAGAGCAACAAAUCCUGUGCCCAGAUGAAGGAGAAGGACCAGAAGAAGCAUGUAGAACUGAAGACUCAGAGCCUGUGCCAUUAACUUCUGAUGCCUGGGCUCAAGGAUGUGUACCUGUUGUCAGUGCUACCCCUCAACCUCAUCCCACUACACAACAGGAGGCUGACAUUCUUGAGGUCCCAGCACAAACAGAGCCAAGGGUCAACCACCAAUGUAAUAUUAUGACUCAAAAAAACAGCUCUCCAAUCCAAUCUGAAGACGAAACAAGUCCCAGGAGGCCUGUGACUGACAAGCACUAUAAAGUGCUUAGUCCUCAGCCACGACUAAAAACUGAUCGUGAGAAAAAGCAGAAAGUCAAUUUACCUCCCAAGCCUGUCCCAGGCAAAUUGCUGCCAGUCCUGUCCUGCUCAGCAGAGAAAAAGUAUGUGGAGGUAGAUGGUAAAAAUAAGUUAUAUUCUGUUUCUAACCAUAAGACUGGACCAUUAUAUCAGCCUAAGGACUACCAACCCAUACCAAGACUUGAUCCCUCAUGCCUGCCUCGACACUGCAUCUUUCCUCAGUAUGAGAUUGUGGACAAAGACUACACAAAACCCAACUCCAAGAAACCAAGUGGACUAUCCAAACUAGAACCAAAAUAUAACAAGCAGCAAACUGAGCAGAAAGUAACCAAACUGACACCACUAACCAACUCCAAGGAUCAGCCAGAAAAGUUUCAGAGGAGAAACGAGGCAGGUGUCUUUCUGAGGAAAGUGUCUCCCUUUAGACAUAGACAGGAAGGGAUGGAAUUCUCUGGGUCUCUGAGGCUGGAUGCAAUGGUUUUGGCCAAGGGUGUUUCUCUCCGGGAUCCACAGGCAGUUGAAAGCAACCCUCUCAAAUUUACACUUCCUUCCCAGUCUACCAAGCUGAGGCCAAUACGAAGUGAUAUAGCUGUGCCACUGUUUUCAGUUGAUCAGUUUACCACAGGCCGACCAUCUCUGUUCACCCCAAUGGUUCAGUCGAAGAACUGUGACAACUGAUUCUGACAUUUAUUUAGAACAGAAUGUGGUAUAUGUUAAUGAAAUAAAAACAAUCCUUCUAAUGCAAGAACAUCUGACAUAAUGUCCAAUGUAGGGUACACUGUAAAAGAUUUGUGUUUUGAAAAGAUUCCCACUCAAGCCAUUUUUCCAUAUAUUUAUUAGCUAGUCUGCAUUUGCGAUACAGUGAGAUAUACUGUACUACAUUUUAAAAAAUAGUUCCUGAUAAACUGUGAUUACAAAAUAUUUAUUGUCAUUUCUUUGAUACUGAUAUAUAUUUAUAGAAUAUGUAAAAGGUAUGAUAUGCAUUCUAUCAAUGCCUCCCACAAAAUAGAGCAAAGAUGGAGAAAGACAGAUGUAACUCAUAUACAAACAACUUAAUUGUAAACCAAAGGAAAUUAUUUGGUCCACCUGGCUAAAAACAAUGUAGUCUAUAACAACAGCCCUGUAAUAAUUGCUAAAUUCACGAAAAUUAUAAUGUUCAGUUAUUUGUUGAAAUUUUUAGUUGUUGAUUCAACUGGUAGGUGUUUCUAUUAUUU